rnacentral:rRNA from 1 species
GACAGAGGUGCCGAGCGUUAGGCGGAAUCACUGGGCUUAAAGCGUGUGUAGGCGGAUCCGUAAGUACCUUGUGAAAUCCCACGGCUCAACCGUGGAACUGCUUGGUAUACUGCCAGUCUUGAGCCAGCUAGGGGCUACCGGAACAAAUGGUGGAGCGGUGAAAUGCGUAGAUAUCAUUUGGAACGCCAAUGGUGAAAACAGGUAGCUGGGGCUGUGCUGACGCUGAGACACGAAAGCCAGGGGAGCAAACGGG